AAAUAAUCCGAUUUGUUUAAUCGAUGACAGUCGAUCACUUACUGUCGUUCACUGAAAACGAGAAACGGAAAAUCAUGAAGUGGUUAGUGUUGCUUGCAUUCGUCGCCAUAGCUGCGGCAUGUUGGCCGCCACAGAAGGUAUUGGUGACGGUUAUGGCAGUGGUAUUCGAUCUCACAGUAGACGAUGUUCAAAAUUGCUUUAACACUUCGAGAAUAACAUUCGAGGAUCUAAUGUUUGCGGGCAACUCUACAACGAGUAAUCGCGGGCCAUCCGACAACAGAUUCUACAAGAUCUCUUGCUUUGCAGCAUGUUUCGCCCAUAAGCAGGGAAUCAUGGACGGCAUGAAGUUAAACGUGCCGAUGGUGAUAGACUAUUACGUAAGAAGGAAGGUAUCGAUGCCGUUGAAGAAACUGAAGAUGUUCCGCGAUGUAUUAAAUCUUUGCAAUGAAGAAGUGACGGAAACAAACGACGAGUGCAAUGCGAUCUACCAGCUCCAUGAAUGCAUUAAGAACAGGAAAGGCUUGCAUCUACGUCCAAUAAUUGCUGGUUUUCCUUUUUACCCAGAACCUUCCUUUCUUUAAUACAUGCCUUCUCGCAAUUCGUGUACGAAAACGUAUGUCAGACAAUUCAACUGGUCCUUGAUCUCAGUGUCAAAAUAAAUAAAAAAAGAAAUUGGGCAACGAAUUAUCUCAUUCCAGUUACUCAAUCUUUCCAACGUUAGACAAAUCAAUUUUCAUAUAAAUACGUUAUGGAAACUCGAAUAUCACGAUUCCAUAGAAAACUCCUUUAUGAAUUUUCGCUGAAAGCAAUUAUGACAAAUACAGAGGAGUUAACACUUUGCAGUCUAACGUUGCCAUACAUGCGGGAUCACAUUUUUAUUCGCUAGGUCGAACGUCACCGCGAAGGCUGCAAAACAUAAUUUCGUUAUCAACACCAUCAUUGGGUAUAUUUUCCUAUUUGGCAAUACUUUGUUCUUACUGCUGUGCCAUAAACUUUACAAACCAUAUUUCUUUGCUUCUCGGUUUACAUUAAUUGCAAUAAUUAACGACACCGGUAAAUAUGGUUGUAUAUGACGAAUAUAUUUAAGCCAGAUGGAAUUACAAUUGGAAAAGUUCUCGACCGCACAGAGUGGAAAUGAAAGAAAUAAGAAUUUAAUUCUGCAGCGGGGAAACAGUUCAAGAAAUUGUGACGCAGCCAUCGGUUUCUCAGCCUGCACGAUUGCCCUCGAUUGCUUCUUGUAAUCUUAUUUUAUCGCUUCAUUGAUCAAAUAGGAAUGCAAUAAAUUUUGUUGAAUAAAAAUAUUCCUUCUAAUUAUCUCAGUUUAAAUUGUAAUAAUUUGAAUUGGUCACAAAAAUAUAAUCUCCUCUUAAUUGUCCUUCACUAAAUUGUAAUGACACAAAACAAUCGAUUCAUUAAGGAAAGAAGCUAUUAAUAAAAGGUCAGGUUGUUAAUGAAUAUUCCAAACAAUAUGCGGUUUCCAAAAUGAUUUUGAUUUACCACUUGUAGCAGCUGUAAAUGUCCAUACAGCUUCAGAGGAAUAUCAGUCCUCGCGGUUAUCCCGAUAAUCGAUUCCAAAACAGAUGUGUUCCGCGCGAAAGCAUAAGCUACGUCGGAUCAUUUUCCUUCUGUUUAUUUAUAUAAAUAAACUGCAUACUCUUCACGCUCGAUUUAUCGUGCAAUAUGUGCUACAACGCGAAUGUAACCGCUCCGUGAUAUCAUUUCUUCAACUUUAACCUCUUGUGCAUGGGUAUAAAUAAUCCGAUCUGCUUCAUCGAUGACAGUCGAUCACUUACUGUCGUUCACUGAAAACGAGAAACGGAAAACCAUGAAGUGGCUGGUGUUGCUUGCAUUCCUCGCCAUAGCUGCGGCCGAAUUGUCGACAGAAGAGAGGACCGAUGUUUUUGUGAGAAAACUAUCCAGAAUGUUUGAUGUCACGGAGGAGGAUGUU